UACGUAGGGGGCAAGCGUUGUCCGGAUUUAUUGGGCGUAAAGAGCGUGUAGGCGGCCAGGUAGGUCGGUUGUGAAAACUGGAGGCUCAACCUUCAGAGGUCGACCGAAACCAUCUGGCUAGAGUCCGGGAGAGGAGAGUGGAAUUCCUGGUGUAGCGGUGAAAUGCGUAGAUAUCGAGAGGAACACCUGCGGCGAAGGCGGGUAGCUGGGCCGACACUGACGCUGAGGCGCGAAAGCCAGGGGAGCGAACGGG
rnacentral:rRNA from 1 species